rnacentral:tRNA from 1 species
GGGGAUUUAGCUCAGUGGUAGAGCGCUUGCCUAGCAAGCGCAAGGCUCUGGAUUCAGUCCCCA